AGAGGAAGCCCGACCGGGAUUAAGUGCUUGCACGUAAGUGCACGCUGUUUCUAUGUCUAAAACACAUAGAGAGUAAGGGCUGGGUAAGACGGGUGCCAGCCGCCGCGGUAAUACCUGCAGCUCAAGUGGUGGCCGCUAUUAUUGGGCCUAAAACGUCCGUAGCCGGUUUAAUAAAUGCCUGGGUAAAUUGUAUAGCUUAACUAUACGAAUUCCGGGUAGACUGAUAAACUUGAGACCGGGGGAAGUUAGAGGUACUCCUGGGGUAGAGGUGAAAUUCUGUAAUCCUAGGGGGACCACCGGUGGCGAAGGCGUCUGACUAAAACGGGUCUGACGGUGAGGGACGAAGCCCUGGGGCGCAAACGGGAUUAGAUACCCCGGUAGUCCAGGUGUAAACGCUGCUUGCUUGAUGUUAGUCGGGCUUCGAGCCCGAUUAGUGUCGGAGAGAAGUUGUUAAGCAAGCUGCCUGGGAAGUACGGCCGCAAGACUGAAACUUAAAGGAAUUGGCGGGGGAGCACAGCAACGGGUGGAGCGUGCGGUUUAAUUGGAUUCAACGCCGGAAAGCUCACCGGAGGCGACGGUUACAUGAAGGCCAGGCUGAUGACCUUGCUAGAUUUUCCGAGAGGUGGUGCAUGGCCGCCGUCAGUUCGUACCGUAAGGCGUUCUGUUAAGUCAGACAACGAACGAGACCCUCAUCUUUAAUUGCUAUUGGCAAGUCCGCUUGUCAAGCACAUUAAAGAAACCGCUGGCGAUAAGUCAGAGGAAGGCGAGGGCAACGGUAGGUCAGUAUGCCCUGAAUCCUCCGGGCUACACGCGCGCUACAAAGGCUAGGACAAUGGGCUCGACACCGAAAGGUGAAGGUAAUCCCGAAACCUAGUUAAAGUUCGGAUCGAGGGUUGAACUCACCCUCGUGAAGAUGAAUCCGUAUACUCGCGUGUCACUACCCGUA
rnacentral:rRNA from 1 species